CCUACGGGUGGCAGCAGUGAGGAAUAUUGGUCAAUGGCCGAGAGGCUGAACCAGCCAAGUCGCGUGAGGGAAGACGGCCCUACGGGUUGUAAACCUCUUUUGUCGGGGAGCAAAGCGAACCACGUGUGGUUCAUUGAGAGUACCCGAAGAAAAAGCAUCGGCUAACUCCGUGCCAGCAGCCGCGGUAAUACGGAGGAUGCGAGCGUUAUCCGGAUUUAUUGGGUUUAAAGGGUGCGCAGGCGGAGUUGAAAGUCAGCGGUCAAAUUGCGGGGCUCAACCCCGUACUGCCGUUGAAACUGCAUCCCUUGAGUGCGCGAGAGGUAUGCGGAAGGCGUGGUGUAGCGGGGAAAGGCAGAGAUAGCGCGCAGAACUCAGAUUGCGAAGGCAGCAUACCGGCGGGCAACUGACGCUGAUGCAGGAAAGCGGGGGUAUCGAACAGGAUUAGAUACCCCGGUAGUC
rnacentral:rRNA from 1 species